rnacentral:lncRNA from 1 species
UGGUGGCUGCCUGCUUGGCGAUUGCACGAGAUGCUGCUCGGGCGUGGGCUGGCCGACUCGAUCUCCUCGACCCAGGGCCCCGUGCUCGUCAGCGCCUGCCCCAUCGCGCACAACUUCUCUGAUCCAGCGCCAAAUUCCGAGGACCAUGCGGAGCUCGACCUGGAGGCACUCCACCUAAUGGGAGGGCAGCACCAAGAACGGCAACAGCAGUAUGGGCUUGCUGCCAGCAAGGUAGACUAGCUCCCCCCUCCAUUUUUUUGGCAUUUUUCAGUGUACAUCACAUGCUAAACUUGGUAGAACACUAAAUCUUUAAUCACAUAAAUUUCUCACUCACGCAGCUAAACAAUUUGGACACAGAUUUCAUGCCUUGGAAGACUGCUUUGUGCAGAUGGUGGAAGGAGGCAAUCCAAACUUUGUCAGUGAAGUUCCAGUUGAGGAAAGAACAGAGAGAGGAAAGACAACAAAGGGAAUUUGGUUAAAGCGAAAAACAGUUUCGUGUAAAACUCUCCACCCAGUCUCCCAGCUCAGCUCAGCAGUUGAUUCAAGGGCGAUAAUCCGCAGGCAUUUCGGCGAAUGAGGAACCUAACCGACAAAUGGAUUAUUUUUCUGAAUCCUAUUUGUUACAUAUGAGUCGACUGUUGAUACAUGUUUGUUAGGGAUAACUUUGGCAAUAUAUCAUACAAGGAUGGUUGUGGUACUCCGUCAGCAAAGCAACUCUGAUCCCUCCAACUCUCAGGUUUUUUAUUCCUCUACUUAAUGAUGCAUGGGUGUGUACUUGGCUGGUUGGGCUACGUGGUUAGAUUGAUUUUCUGGAAUCCUUUCAGAUUGUUGGACUAUACAGAGCUAAGAUAGAAAACUUUCAGAUGUUGUCCAGAUUGCAUCCUUCAAUGCUAUGUGUACUUCAAUGCUUGAUGUUUCCUCCCCAGGUAGAAUAUUAGUGUUGAUUCCAGUAUCGCAGAUGCAUUUUACCCAAUUGUUUGUGCCGAUUUGGAGGUGCACAUAGUUUGUUCGGCGAUUUGGCAUGUAAAUCCAGAGAUUAAAUUCGAGUGAUACAUACAAAUUGUUCAAAUUGCGUUGCAAUUUUAUGAAUCUAUCAUAUGUGCUAGAUUAUAUAUCUAUGUCAAGAAGGGAUGCAUGAUGCCCCCCACUUUGUCGUGGCUUCGAAUUAGUGGUGCCACGGUUAUGUAUAUCUGCAUGGUGUAUAUUCUAGGAUCAUGAAAGUCUCUGAAUUAGUUUAAUUUUUUUCGUUCUUUGGUUAUAAAUAUAUAAUUUCAGGUUUCUAAGACUAACAGUUUUUUUUUCUUUCUAUAAGGAGUGAAAAAAAUCAUUU